GAUGAACGCUGGCGGCGUGCCUAAUACAUGCAAGUCGAGCGAACAGACGAGGAGCUUGCUCCUCUGACGUUAGCGGCGGACGGGUGAGUAACACGUGGAUAACCUACCUAUAAGACUGGGAUAACUUCGGGAAACCGGAGCUAAUACCGGAUAAUAUAUUGAACCGCAUGGUUCAAUAGUGAAAGACGGUUUUGCUGUCACUUAUAGAUGGAUCCGCGCCGCAUUAGCUAGUUGGUAAGGUAACGGCUUACCAAGGCAACGAUGCGUAGCCGGCCUGAGAGGGUGAUCGGCCACACUGGAACUGAGACACGGACCAGACUCCUACGGGAGGCAGCAGUAGGGAAUCUUCCGCAAUGGGCGAAAGCUUGACGGAGCAACGCCGCGUGAGUGAUGAAGGUCUUCGGAUCGUAAAACUCUGUUAUUAGGGAAGAACAAAUGUGUAAGUAACUAUGCACGUCUUGACGGUACCUAAUCAGAAAGCCACGGCUAACUACGUG
rnacentral:rRNA from 1 species